rnacentral:tRNA from 1 species
GCCCGGUUAGCAUAGGAGUAAUGCGCCCGUUUUGUAAUCGGUGGACAUGAGUGCGAUUCUCAUACAGGGCU